rnacentral:rRNA from 1 species
UNUGGUCUGUCACUGACGCUGAGGCUCGAAAGCGUGGGUAGCGAACAGGAUUAGAUACCCUGGUAGUCCACGCCGUAAACGCUGAGUGCUAGGUGUUAGGUCCUUUCCGGGACUUAGUGCCGACGCUAACGCAUUAAGCACUCCGCCUGGGGAGUACGACCGCAAGGUUGAAACUCAAAGGAAUUGACGGGGGCCCGCACAAGCGGUGGAGCAUGUGGUUUAAUUCGAAGCAACGCGAAGAACCUUACCAGGUCUUGACAUCCCGAUGCCCGCUCUAGAGAUAGAGUUUUUCUUCGGAACAUCGGAGACAGGUGGUGCAUGGUUGUCGUCAGCUCGUGUCGUGAGAUGUUGGGUUAAGUCCCGCAACGAGCGCAACCCUUAUUGUUAGUUGCCAUCAUUAAGUUGGGCACUCUAGCGAGACUGCCGGUAAUAAACCGGAGGAAGGUGGGGAUGACGUCAAAUCAUCAUGCCCCUUAUGACCUGGGCUACACACGUGCUACAAUGGUUGGUACAACGAGUCGCAAGCCGGUGACGGCAAGCUAAUCUNUGAAAGCCAAUCUCAGUUCGGAUUGUAGGCUGCAACUCGCCUACAUGAAGUCGGAACCGCUAGUAAUCGCGGUUCAGCACGCCGCGGUGAAUACGUUCCCGGGCCUUGUACACACCGCCCGUCACACCACGAGAGUUUGUAACACCCAAAGUCGGUGAGGUAACCAUUUAUGGGNCC